rnacentral:rRNA from 1 species
AUGCCCCGCGCGCGCGUGGUGGCCGUGGUGGGCGCAGGCGCGGCGGGGCUGGAGGCCGCACGCGAGCUGCUCCGCGAAGGCCACGCCGUCACGGUCUUCGAGCGUUCGGACCGCGUGGGCGGUACCUGGGCCUACGACCCGCGAGCCGACGAAACGGAUCCGCUGGGCGCCGCCGUCCAUGGCAGCCUGUACGCGUCGCUGCGCACGAACCUCCCGCGCGAGCUCAUGGGCUUCUCGGGCCACGAGAGCCUCGUGGGCAGGGUCUUCGCCGGGGACCCGCGCACGUUCCCGGGCCACCAGGAGGUGCUCGCCUUCCUGCGCGCGUUCGCCGAGGAGUCCGGCGUCGCCCGGCGCGUCAGUGUUAUCUCUGCCCAGGACGGCCGCCGAUGCCGUCUUGUCACGCCGAUUACCGCCUUCGCCGUUGGCUUCAAUGAGAGGCGCACCUCCAACGCCUUCACCACAUCAUGGUCGCCGGCGACACACCUUGUCGACGACUCCGGCAUGGAUGGCGAACUCCUUGCCGCCGGUGGCGCAACUUACCGGGCAGCAUGUCCUCCUUCGAUCGUGACGCAGCUUGACCUCGACAGAGAACCGGACCUCCACACACAAGGGCCUCGCGGCAACCGCGCCGCGUCGAACCUCGCCCACUCCGUAUGGGCAAGAUUGAGCCCCUCCGGCGACCCGGGGAGCGUGACAGAGCUACGCGCCGAGGUGCUGCGCGCGUCGCCACCCCUCGGUCGUCGCGGGGAAGGCGGUGAGAGGUGGAGCGUGGCGUGGCGGGGCGAGGACGGCGAGGUGGCCGUGGAGGCCUUCGACGCCGUCGUCGUCUGCAACGGGCACUGCACCGUGCCCCUCGUGCCCAAGCUCCCAGGAAUCGACAAGUGGCGAGGAAAGCAAAUGCACGCCACAAUUACCGCAUUUCCGAGCCAUUUCGAGAUCAGGAUCAACACGCGCUGGUUAAAUGUCCAUCAGGUGGAUUGCAUCCAAGACGAUGGCCAAGUGCGCUUCGCUGAAGGUGCAGCGGUCGCGGCAGACGUGAUUCUCUACUGCACAGGGUACCGUUACCACUUCCCGUUCUUGGACCUGGACGAGCUCACCGUGGACGACGAGAACCGCGUCGGGCCUCUGUACAAGCACGUCUUCCCCCCGAAGUACGCGCCGAAUCUCUCCUUCGUCGGACUGCCGGUCAAGACCAUCCUCUUCCAGUCGUUCGAACUGGAGGCCAAGUGGGUGGCGCGCGUGCUGUCCGGGAGAGCGGCUCUGCCGAGCGAGGAGGGCAUGCUGGCCGCCGUGCGGGAGCACUACCGGCGGAUGGAGGAGAGCGGGAGGCCCCGGCGCCACACGCACGCCCUCAUGCCUGAAUGGGUGGAGUAUAUGGACUGGCUGGCGGAGCAGGUCGGCGAGCGGCGGCUGGAGGCGCGGAGGCGGGACAUGUACGAGAGAGCCCUCCAGCGCGUCUGGUCUCUCGACGGGGGAUACCGUGACAGCUGCGAAGAUGAAGAAAAGGGCAGUGGCGACAGUAAAGUUUAG